GGGUCGCAAGACCAACCGGCGAACGGGUGCGUAACACGUGAGCAAUCUGCCGAUUUGUGGGGGAUAGCCGGCCCAACGGCCGGGUAAUACCGCAUACGCUCAGUCAGGGGAGUCCCUGGGUGAGGAAACCUCCGGGGCAAAUCGAGGAGCUCGCGGCCUAUCAGCUAGUUGGCGGGGGUAAUGGCCCACCAAGGCGAUGACGGGUAGCUGGUCUGAGAGGAUGGCCAGCCACAUUGGGACUGAGAGACGGCCCAGACUCCUACGGGAGGCAGCAGUGGGGAAUCUUGCGCAAUGGUCGAAAGACUGACGCAGCGACGCCGCGUGUGGGAGGACGCCUUUCGGGGUGUAAACCACUGUUGCCCGGGACGAACAGCCUUUUUCGAGAGGCCUGACGGUACCGGGUGAGGAAGCACCGGCUAACUCCGUGCCAG
rnacentral:rRNA from 1 species